rnacentral:rRNA from 1 species
GAGUUUGAUCAUGGCUCAGAUUGAACGCUGGCGGCAUGCCUUACACAUGCAAGUCGAACGGCAGCAUGAUCUAGCUUGCUAGAUUGAUGGCGAGUGGCGAACGGGUGAGUAAUACAUCGGAACGUGCCCUGUAGUGGGGGAUAACUAGUCGAAAGAUUAGCUAAUACCGCAUACGACCUGAGGGUGAAAGUGGGGGACCGCAGGGCCUCAUGCUAUAGGAGCGGCCGAUGUYUGAUUAGCUAGUUGGUGGGGUAAAGGCCCACCAAGGCGACGAUCAGUAGCUGGUCUGAGAGGACGAUCAGCCACACUGGGACUGAGACACGGCCCAGACUCCUACGGGAGGCAGCAGUGGGGAAUUCUGGACAAUGGGCGAAAGCCUGAUCCAGCAAUGCCGCGUGUGUGAAGAAGGCCUUCGGGUUGUAAAGCACUUUUGUCCGGAAAGAAAUGGCUCUGGUUAAUACCUGGGGUCGAUGACGUACCGAAGUUAGUUKGGG